rnacentral:ncRNA from 1 species
AUCAGAGGUGCGCUGCUCAAGAGUACCCCGGCGGAGGAUGAGGCUCCGGUGAGGCCGGGCGAAAGGGUGCAGCGCCGAAAGGGCGCGGCACGCCCCGGUGCGCUGCCCUUGGGCGCAGGCUGAACAGGUGUGCGACUGUCAUCGGGCGUUGGCCCGGCGGAGCGCUGG